rnacentral:rRNA from 1 species
GAUGAACGCUGGCGGCGUGCCUAAUACAUGCAAGUCGAGCGAACAGAUGAGAAGCUUGCUUCUCUGAUGUUAGCGGCGGACGGGUGAGUAACACGUGGGUAACCUACCUAUAAGACUGGGAUAACUCCGGGAAACCGGGGCUAAUACCGGAUAAUAUUUUGAACCGCAUGGUUCAAUAGUGAAAGACGGUUUCGGCUGUCACUUAUAGAUGGACCCGCGCCGUAUUAGCUAGUUGGUAAGGUAACGGCUUACCAAGGCGACGAUACGUAGCCGACCUGAGAGGGUGAUCGGCCACACUGGAACUGAGACACGGUCCAGACUCCUACGAGAGGCAGCAGUAGGGAAUCUUCCGCAAUGGGCGAAAGCCUGACGGAGCAACGCCGCGUGAGUGAUGAAGGUCUUCGGAUCGUAAAACUCUGUUGUUAGGGAAGAACAAAUUUGUUAGUAACUGAACAAGUCUUGACGGUACCUAACCAGAAAGCCACGGCUAACUAUGUGCCAGCCGCCGCAGUAA